rnacentral:rRNA from 1 species
CCUACGGGUGACAGCAGUGAGGAAUAUUGGUCAAUGGACGAGAGUCUGAACCAGCCAAGUAGCGUGAAGGAUGACUGCCCUAUGGGUUGUAAACUUCUUUUAUAUGGGAAUAAAACAGGGUAUGCAUACCCACUUGUAUGUACCAUAUGAAUAAGGAUCGGCUAACUCCGUUCCAGCAGCCGCGGUAAGACGGAGGAUCCGAGCGUUAUCCGGAUUUCUUGGGUUUAAAGGUAGCGUAGAUGGGUUGUUAAGUCAGUUGUGAAAGUUUGCGGCUCAACCUUAAAAUUGCAAUUGAUACUGGCAGCUUUGAGUACAGUUGAGGUAGGCGGAAUUCGUGGUGUAGCGGUGAAAUGCUUAGAUAUCACGAAGAACUCCGAUUGCGAAGGCAGCUUACUAAACUGCCACUGACAUUGAUGCUCGAAAGUGUGGGUAUCAAACAGGAUUAGAUACCCCAGUAGUC